rnacentral:lncRNA from 1 species
AUUUAGGAUUUAGAUUAGGGUUUGGUUAGGGUUUAGUUUAGGAUUUAGGAUUUGGAUUAGGGUUUGAUUUAGGAUUUAAGAUUUGAUUAGGAUUUAGUUUAGGAUUUAGGGUUUGGAUUAGGGUUUGGUUAGGGUUUAUUUAGGAUUUAGGAUUUGGUUAGGAUUUGGUUAGGAUUUGGUUUAGAGUUUAAUUAGGGUUUUAUUUAGAAUUUAGGAUUUUAUUAGGAUUUAAGAUUCAAUUAGUUUUGGCCUAAAGUUUUAAUGAAAUUCAAUAGGAUUUUAACUAGAAUUAAAUUAAGAUUGAAUUGAGAUAUAUUUGAGUGAUAUUUGUGAUCCUUCUAAUAUUUCUUUAAGAAUUCUUAUUGUUUGUUUGAAAUUUCUUUGAGGUUUUUUUGAAUUUGAUUAAGCUUGUUUAGCAUUAUUAUGGUCUAAUUAGAGCAUUGUUAGUAUUCUAUUAGAAUUAGGAUUUUAUUAUUGCAAUUUCCAUUCUUCCUUCCACAGCCAGGUGCCCGGAGCAUUCUCAAGCAAGACUUCACGUAUUACGACAGUGUAAAAGUGGAUAUGUAUUCUUAACAAUCUACUUAUAAAAGUGUCAAUAAUCAAUGUAAUACUAAAGUCUAUUAUCUUUU